UUGGGCGUAAGAGCUCGUAGGCGGUUUGUCGCGUCUGCCGUGAAAGUCCGGGGCUCAACUCCGGAUCUGCGGUGGGUACGGGCAGACUAGAGUGAUGUAGGGGAGACUGGAAUUCCUGGUGUAGCGGUGAAAUGCGCAGAUAUCAGGAGGAACACCGAUGGCGAAGGCAGGUCUCUGGGCAUUAACUGACGCUGAGGAGCGAAAGCAUGGGGAGCGAACAGGAUUAGAUACCCUGGUAGUCCAUGCCGUAAACGUUGGGCACUAGGUGUGGGGGACAUUCCACGUUUUCCGCGCCGUAGCUAACGCAUUAAGUGCCCCGCCUGGGGAGUACGGCCGCAAGGCUAAAACUCAAAGGAAUUGACGGGGGCCCGCACAAGCAGCGGAGCAUGCGGAUUAAUUCGAUGCAACGCGAAGAACCUUACCAAGGCUUGACAUGGACCGGACCGCCGCAGAAAUGUGGUUUCCCCUUUGGGGCCGGUUUACAGGUGGUGCAUGGUUGUCGUCAGCUCGUGUCGUGAGAUGUUGGGUUAAGUCCCGCAACGAGCGCAACCCUCGUUCUAUGUUGCCAGCGGUUCGGCCGGGGACUCAUAGGAGACUGCCGGGGUCAACUCGGAGGAAGGUGGGGACGACGU
rnacentral:rRNA from 1 species